AACGAACGCUGGCGGCGUGGAUAACACUUUCAAGUCGAGCGAGAUUUUUUCCUGUAGCAAUACAGGGAAACGUCUAGCGGCGAACGGGUGCUUAACACGUGGGCAACCUGCCGAGAAGUGGGGGAUAGCUCGCCGAAAGGCGAAUUAAUACCGCAUGUGGUCAGAAUGGACAUCCAUUCGAAAUCAAAGUCGGGGCAACCUGACGCUUCUUGAGGGGCCCGCGGCCUAUCAGCUAGUUGGUGAGGUAACGGCCCACCAAGGCUAUGACGGGUAGCUGGUCUGAGAGGACGACCAGCCACACUGGGACUGAGAACACGGCCCAGACACCUACGGGUGGCAGCAGUCGAGAAUUUUUCUCAAUGGGGGAAACCCUGAAGGAGCGACGCCGCGUGGAGGAUGAAGGUCUUCGGAUUGUAAACUCCUGUCAUUGGGGAACAAUGCGUAAAUAUUAACUGUAUUUGCGUUGAUAGUACCCGAAGAGGAAGAGACGGCUAACUCUGUGCCAGCAGCCGCGGUAAUACAGAGGUCUCAAGCGUUGUUCGGAUUCAUUGGGCGUAAAGGGUGCGUAGGCGGCGCGGUAAGUCGGGUGUGAAAUCUCGGAGCUUAACUCCGAAACUGCAUUCGAUACUGCCGUGCUUGAGGACUGGAGAGGAGACUGGAAUUUACGGUGUAGCGGUGAAAUGCGUAGAUAUCGUAAGGAAGACCAGUGGCGAAGGCGGGUCUCUGGACAGUUCCUGACGCUGAGGCACGAAGGCCAGGGGAGCAAACGGGAUUAGAUACCCCGGUAGUCCUGGCAGUAAACGGUGCACGUUUGGUGUGGGAGGAUUCGACCCCUUCUGCGCCGGAGCUAACGCGUUAAACGUGCCGCCUGGGGGAGUACGGUCGCAAGAUUAACACUCAGAGAAAUUGACGGG
rnacentral:rRNA from 1 species